CAAAAAAACAAACCCUGGUUUCCGUGUCCAAUGUUACAUUGACCGUCUGUCUUAUUUAAAAAAAUUAUGAAAAAAAUUAAAAAGAUAAGUCACGCAUAAAGUAUCCAUCAUGUUUUAUCAUCUAACAACAAUGAAAAUACUAAUUAUAAAAAAAUUAUAUAAGACGGACAGUCAAACGUUGGAACGCAAACCCGCGGUUUGUCUUUUU
rfam:Oryza nivara chromosome 7, whole genome shotgun sequence.